CCCCCGGAGGCCCUGUGCAGGCUUCUGGACCUCCCUGAGCUGGCCCAGAACAUCCGGCCUUGGCUACACCCUGAAAAGCCUCUGGCCCUGCUCUCCAGGGGCCUGUGCCCCUCCCGUGCCAGUGAACCUUGUGCUGCUGGGGCCCCACCUCUUGGUAGAGGAGCUCAGCUUCCCAGGAGCCUCCUGAGGAGGGAUGGCAGCUGUGGCAGGUCCCAGCCAACCAGCAGCAUCAACCACCAUGCAUGUGAGUGAGGAGACUUUCCAGAUGACUCUAGGCCCAGCCAACAUCUGACGGCAGCUACAUGGAGGACCCUGAUGAGAACCACCUGGCUGAGCCUGGCCAACCCUGAGAAGUGCAAGAGAGAAUAAUAAAGUGAUUAGCAUUGUUUCCAGCCACUACGAGUUGAGGCCAUGGUUACACAGUGACGGAUCAGCAGAACACCCAGGGGCAAUGAGGAUGGUCUUGGGCUUCUCUGCUAUUGAAAGAUGGAAGUACUGCCUCUUCCCAAACUGUCCUUCUCAGGUUCUGAAAAUGUAACAUCUGGGUGGUUGAAUCUCUCGAAGCAGGAUUUGAAAGUGGGAACUCCAGUUUUCAGAAGUGGGAAGACUGCUCUCUUACGUUCCCAAGGAAGUUCUUCUCUCGAACAUUUCUACUGAGAGAGGUAGUUAUGACGUCGUGGAAAGAUCAUGAGUGAAAUGUCAGGUAGACCCAGUGUCUUAGUCUGCUCGGGAUCCCACAUAAAAGUACCAGAGAUUGAGUGGCUUAUUAACAACAAACAUUUAUUGCUCACAGUUCUGGAGGCUGGGAAGUCCAAGACCAUGGCCCUGGCAGAUGUGUUGCCUGGUGACGGCCCGCCUCUGGUUCACAGCCAGUGCCUUCUAUUUGUAAUCUCACAUGGUGGAAGGGACAGGUUUCAUCAGGGCACUAACCCUGUCACGAGGCUCUGUCCUCAUGACCUAAUGAUUUCCCUGAGACUCCAUUUCCUAAUACCCUACCCUGGGGGGACGUAAACAUCCAGACCACGGCACCCAGGUGCAAAUUUCAAUUCUGCCGCCUCCCGGCACUCUUGUCCUAGAGUCAGUCCCUUUACUUCUCUGUGUUUCAGGAGCCUCCGCUACAAAAUGGGAAAGCUCACAGCUACCUUAGUGGAUUGGCAUGACAAUCCGAGAUUCUUUAAACCAGUCUCACCCUACAAAAAGGAUUUGAGGCAGAUUCUGGGGAUGAUCUAUGUAAACUGCCUUGUGUGAGCGAUAACGAAUGAUGUUCGUCAAAUGCUUCCUGUCAGGAAAAAUGUUAAGCGCUUUGCUCACGUUAACUUUUUUGAUAGUCGCAAUAACGUCGUGAGUUAAGUAUCACUAUUAUCUGCGUUUUACGGAUGGGGGAAACCAAGGCACAGAGAGAUUACGUAACUCUCCCACACAGUAGGUAGCAGAGCUGGAAUUUGAACCCAGGAAGUUUGACCCUACAGCUGACUAGGCCACACUGUCUCUCGGUAAAUGGUUAACUCUGGGUUAGAGGUGCUGAUGGCAUAAGUGUCCAGUCCAUCGUCUUCCUGAAGAACCCGUCUGAAGAGAUCCAGUGCUUGAACCAAAGUGAUAUCAAUGGUGAGAUGCCCAGCGCUGGGGUGUGCUAAUAGGGAAGACACGGUGUGUGUGAAAGUCACGCCCGGUGGCCCUGGGCUGCUGGGGGUGGUGGGGUGACAGACCAGGAGAGAAGGGAACAGCUGAGGAAGAGGACAUUUUCAGUAUCAGGACAGAAACAUCCAUCUGGAGCCCUCGCCGGGCAGUCAGGGUGCCGUGAAGGUGGGGAAGAGGGGGCGGAGUCAUCCUGGAGAGACUGAGGAAGUGAGGCUGGUGGGCGUGUCAAGGACACUUGACAUUGAGACUGGCCCUUUUACUUAGGCCGUGGGACCCUCAGUGAGUCACCUGCCCUCAUCUCUAAAGUGUUGAUAAAUUUUGCAGCUCCCAAAUGAGAGCAUGUGUACAAAAUGUUCAGGAAACUGGAAAUGGAAGCUACCACUUGGUAUUCUAGUUAGCAAAAGGUGUCUUCUUUUAAGCUUCCUAAAAUAAAUUUUAUCUGUUUUGGAGGACAACUAACUUAAAAUGAAUAAGGUGCUUCCUUAACUUCUUUUUUUUUUUUUUUAAACUUCUUAAACGAGUCAUUUGAAUAUCAUUUAACUAACUUUUCUUCGUGACUCAAGUUUAAUCAUUAUGGACACCCGUUUCCAUAUUGAGCUGCACAGCGAUGCCGGGCUUAGAGGGCGCGUCCUGUCUGGGUGUGGCUCUGUGCCCCUGCCGGAUGGCCCUGGGCUGCUGGGCUUUUGGAGUUCUGCUGAUAGCCCUGGAUAGGUCAUCAGCCUCAUCCCUUACUAUGGCCAUCAGCUGUCACCUCUCCGUGCUGUCAGAAUGUCGGCCCAAAGCCGGUUAAUGACACUUUGACUUGUGCUCCUAAUCUGUUGUGAUUUACAAACCAGAUGCCCACAGUUAUUACAAAUGUUCAUAAAAGCAGGGAUUCCUAAGUGCAGGGUACCGAGGGGUUCAACUCAGGGUAAAGUGUGUGGGCAUUAGCGCACGGGAGUUUAUGACAUCAAUCUUGACUAUUCUGAGACACUUGAUGCUCCCUUUGUGAAUUCCAACGGCUCCAGAUGCUCCAGGUCAGCGAGGUGUUACUGUAGCUAGUGACCUGUCAGUGACUCUCUUUGAUUUAGUUCUCUAUUGUUAUUAUUAUUAUUUUUUAAAAUAUAGAACUCUUUCUUUUCCUUCCUGCAA